rnacentral:rRNA from 1 species
GACGAACGCUGGCGGCGUGCUUAACACAUGCAAGUCGAACGGAAAGGCCCUGCUUUUGUGGGGUGCUCGAGUGGCGAACGGGUGGGUAACACGUGAGUAACCUGCCCUUGACUUUGGGAUAACUUCAGGAAACUGGGGCUAAUACCGGAUAGGAGCUCCUGCUGCAUGGUGGGGGUUGGAAAGUUUCGGCGGUUGGGGAUGGACUCGCGGCUUAUCAGCUUGUUGGUGGGGUAGUGGCUUACCAAGGCUUUGACGGGUAGCCGGCCUGAGAGGGUGACCGGCCACAUUGGGACUGAGAUACGGCCCAGACUCCUACGGGAGGCAGCAGUGGGGAAUAUUGCACAAUGGGCGGAAGCCUGAUGCAGCAACGCCGCGUGCGGGAUGAUGGCCUUCGGGUUGUAAACCGCUUUCGCCUGUGACGAAGCGUGAGUGACGGUAAUGGGUAAAGAAGCACCGGCUAACUACGUG